rnacentral:lncRNA from 1 species
UGAUUGUAUCCAGAUUAACAGACCUGCUUUAGGCAGUUAUUCUCCUCUGAUUAAAAAGCUAAAGGUGUGUGUUUCUCCUCCAGGUGACGUUCCGUACGAGAAUCUACCACUGCAACAUCAACAGUCAGGGCGUGAUCUGUCUGGACAUCCUGAAGGACAACUGGAGCCCCGCCCUCACCAUCUCCAAGGUCCUGCUGUCCAUCUGCUCCCUGCUGACAGACUGCAACCCUGCCGAUCCUCUGGUGGGAAGCAUCGCCACACAGUACCUGACCAACAGAGCAGAACACGACAGGAUAGCCAAACAGUGGACCAAACGCUACGCCACAUAAACCACCCAACCCUCCUGUACUGCUUUGCCUCCUGCAUCCCUAAAAGAAAGCACACCCGGCCCUGGAUCCAGACGUUCCCAGAUGUUCCCAGAUGAUGUUCCCCCGCCCGUCCCCCUCCCCGUCCCUAAACAAUGAACUGUCCUUUGUUUUUUCUUGUUGACUUGAAGGCUUUUUUUAUACAGUAAAUGUAUACUAAGAGCAGAUCAGGAUUGUACUUUUUUCCAGUGCGCUGAAUGUUGGCAUGGUCAUCAAAAGCUUUAUUAUUAUUUGUAAUGUUUUUUUUUUAUGUGUUUAAUGAUGGAACACUACGGCACUGGCCUGUUUAUCUUGAGAAGCCCU